UAGGGAGAUUUCGGUUGGAUUACCUGCAGUUGAGCCUUGUGGUUUUACGAGACCAAAUACAAAUUCUGGGUCAUGUUUGUGGAGAGGCAGUGGGAGCACAUCCCUAUCUGUGGGCUUUGAAUUUGGGUGUCUUACAUACAAGGUUUUGGAAGGAUAGUGAUUCAGUUGAUCUGAGAUCAGCGGAAACAUGGUAGAACUCUUUUGAAGAGGGAAAUUGGUUUGCAUGGGGUUUGAACCUGGUGACCCAACAAAGCAUCCUCUAGCCUCGACCAUUGGGGGAAACAAGAAAUGGAGAUGAUUGUAAUGGUGGAGAAGAAUUCUUGAACAAAAAACUUCAGAUAUUUCCGACCAAGAAGUAUUGGAUUCUCUUUCGAAUGGACCCGGAAAGAAGAAGGAAGGCUGGAAUGUCAAUAGGCGUCUAUUAUUAAAUUCACCCCACCCUAGAGUACCCGUUUGGGGAAUGUCCAGGGCCGAAGUCAUUGAAUGGGUAAGUCACUGAUCCUUAAAACUAAAUUAUGUAAUGUACCCUGUAUGCUGGGUUACGACUUACGAGUAGGCAUUUUACCAGAUGUUUCUAAUUUAUCUUUGUGUGAUUCCUGUUGAAGCAUAUACUUACGGGUGGGUGUAGGGUGGACGGUUUUAAAGCAGACUCUCCUAGAGAAGAUCCCUGUUUUGAACAUGGUUGUCGUUCUCAAAUGACUCACCUUCAUUUCACUUGGCUGUUGCCAACGGAAUUUGUGCUUCAAAGCACUGAUUGGUUUGGGAAAAGCUUUUCUUUCUUUUCUUUUUUUGCUUUCUGGUAAUAAUUGCCGUCUAAGGUUAUGUCUGAAUAUUGAAUUUUUACGAUAUUAUACAAGUCAAUGUGACAUUGCUUCAUUUAGAAUCGAAAA